rnacentral:lncRNA from 1 species
UUUCCUUAUUGUAGGGCAGAAUAAAAGGCACCAGAGAGCUGAGGGAAGAUGCGAUUCAGUUCUUCCCUUUUUAUUAAAAAAACUGCUGCCAGAAAGAGGAAAGAGUAGUUGGUUAAAUCUGUCAGUUUUGAGUUCUCGUGAUUAUUUUCAUUGAAAGUUAGUGAUGAUGGGACUUCAAAAUUGAUUGUUUGUCCCGCUCAUAGCAGCAACCCAUUUUGGUGUUUCCUCUCAGUUUCCCAGGGUUUACCACCAGGGAAAAUUGCUUGUCUUCCCAUUUAAGCAACUCAAUCCCAGCUGGUGUCCCUGGGAGCCCAAGGGAAGGCGCUGAAGAGAGAAAUCUUCCUGCCAGCUUCCUCCAGGAAUGUUUCCCCUGGCGUGAUGUGGGCGCUGGGAAGCGUCUGUUUGGCUCCCUGCUCCCAGGGGACAGGCAUUACUUCCGUUGAGUGUCAGAUAAUUGUCAAGUCCUCACCAAGGAUGAUACUGCUGCUGCUGUGAAACCGUCAAAGAGUGUCCUGGGUCUACUUUCUUUUUGGAACCCUCCACCCCAUUAUUUCUGGUCUCACACGUGGAAUGGAUGCAGGGAGGGUAACAUCAGCCUUCUGAGUUCACAGACCUUAUCACCAGGUGUAGAUGGAGCACAGUCAGAUGCCCUGUCCUGCUUCCCUCACGCUGCGCCUGCGCCCCAGGAGGAGCAUUGAGCCCUGGGACAAAUAUGUCAUCUCCUGGUGGAGUAUCAGCUUUGCUAAGAGUUGGUGUGAACAUUGACGGUGCUGAGCUUGAUGUCUGGCACAUAACGAACACACAAACAUCAGCUAUGAUGCUGCUCAUGAGGAUCCGCUCAGAGCCUGGGAGGUGUCUCUCCUUCUGCUACGUGCUCUGGAAACUAACAACAAACCUGCGGUCCUGAGACUUUCCUGAGGAAUUGCCUUGAAGAGAGAGUUCACUGUGACUCUGAUGUAAACCCUUCCAGAGACCGUUUGCUUCAUUUUUGUUCCUUUUGCAGAACUUAAUUUUUUAAAAGAAAGUUUAAAAACAAGAUUGUAAACUUUUAUGGGUUGAAUUGUGUCCCCCCAAAAUAUAUGUUGAAGUCCUCACCC